AACGAACGCUGGCGGCAUGCCUAAUACAUGCAAGUCGAACGAGAAAGUCAGCAAUGAUGAGUACAGUGGCGCACGGGUGAGUAACACGUAGGUGAUCUGCCUUCUAAUUGGGGAUAACAGAGAGAAGUCUCUGAUAAUACCGGAUAAGCUGAACGACUUUGGAAUUAGUUCAGGAAAGACUGCCUCUUUACAAUGCAGUUGUUAGAAGAAUAGCCUGCGUACCAUUCGCUAGUUGGGGGGGUAAAGGCCUACCAAGGCGAUGAUGGUUAGCUGGUCUGAGAGGAUGAUCAGCCACACUGGAACUGAGACACGGUCCAGACUCCUACGGGAGGCAGCAGUAGGGAAUAUUGCGCAGUGGGGGAAACCCUGACGCAGCAAUGCCGCGUGAGUGAGGAAGGCCUUCGGGUUGUAAAGCUCUGUCCUUAGGGAAAAAUGAGUCUAUAUCUAAUAGGUGUAGGCUUUGAUGGUACCUGAGAAGAAAGCACCGGCUAACUUCGUGCCAGCCGCCGCCGUAA
rnacentral:rRNA from 1 species